CCUACGGGAGGCAGCAGUGAGGAAUAUUGGUCAAUGGACGAGAGUCUGAACCAGCCAAGUAGCGUGAAGGAUGACUGCCCCAUGGGUUGUAAACUUCUUUUAUAUGGGAAUAAAAUGAUCCACGAGAGGGAUUUUGAAUGUACCUUAUGAAUAAGGAUCGGCUAACUCCGUGCCAGCAGCCGCGGUAAUACGGAGGAUCCGAGCGUUAUCCGGAUUUAUUGGGUUUAAAGGGAGCGUAGGUGGAAUGUUAAGUCAGUUGUGAAAGUUUGCGGCUCAACCGUAAAAUUGCAGUUGAAACUGGCAGUCUUGAGUACAGUAGAGGUAGGCGGAAUGCGUGGUGUAGCGGUGAAAUGCGUAGAUAUCGCGAAGAACUCCGAUUGCGAAGGCAGUUCACUGGACUGCAACUGACGCUGAGGCUCGAAAGUGUGGGUAUCGAACAGGAUUAGAUACCCCAGUAGUC
rnacentral:rRNA from 1 species